CAAUAGCGUAUAUUUAAGUUGUUGCAGUUAAAAAGCUCGUAGUUGGAUUUCGGUUAAGAGCGACCGGUCCGCCGUUUGGUGUGCACUGGUUGGUGUUAACUUCCUGUAGAGGACGUGCUCUGGGUUUAACGACCUGGACUCGGAGUCUACGUGGUUACUUUGAAAAAAUUAGAGUGUUCAAAGCGGGCUUACGCUUGAAUAUUUCAGCAUGGAAUAACACUAUAGGACUCCUGUCCUAUUUCGUUGGUCUCGGGACGGGAGUAAUGAUUAAGAGGAACAGUUGGGGGCAUUCGUAUUUCAUUGUCAGAGGUGAAAUUCUUGGAUUUAUGAAAGACGAACUUCUGCGAAAGCAUUUGCCAAGGAUGUUUUCAUUAA
rnacentral:rRNA from 1 species